AGAGUUUGAUCAUGGCUCAGAUUGAACGCUGGCGGCAUGCCUUACACAUGCAAGUCGAACGGUAACAGGGAGCUUGCUCCGCUGACGAGUGGCGAACGGGUGAGCAAUAUAUCGGAACAUACCCUAGAGUGGGGGAUAACGUAGCGAAAGUUACGCUAAUACCGCAUACGAACUAAGGUUGAAAGUGGGGGCUCGCAAGACCUCAUGCUCAUGGAGUGGCCGAUAUCAGAUUAGCUAGUUGGUGAGGUAAAGGCUCACCAAGGCGACGAUCUGUAGCGGGUCUGAGAGGAUGAUCCGCCACACUGGAACUGAGACACGGUCCAGACUCCUACGGGAGGCAGCAGUGGGGAAUUUUGGACAAUGGGGGCAACCCUGAUCCAGCCAUGCCGCGUGAGUGAAGAAGGCCUUCGGGUUGUAAAGCUCUUUCAGCCGGGAAGAAAUCACAUGGGUUAAUACCCUGUGUGGAUGACGGUACCGGAAUAAGAAGCACCGGCUAACUACGUGCCAGCAGCCGCGGUAAUACGUAGGGUGCGAGCGUUAAUCGGAAUUACUGGGCGUAAAGCGUGCGCAGGCGGUUUGUUAAGAUAGGCGUGAAAUCCCCGGGCUCAACCUGGGAACUGCGUUUAUGACUGGCAGGCUAGAGUAUGGCAGAGGGGGGUGGAAUUCCACGUGUAGCAGUGAAAUGCGUAGAGAUGUGGAGGAACACCGAUGGCGAAGGCAGCCCCCUGGGCCAAUACUGACGCUCAUGCACGAAAGCGUGGGUAGCAAACAGGAUUAGAUACCCUGGUAGUCC
rnacentral:rRNA from 1 species